GGGUCCUACGGGGGGCAGCAGUGGGGAAUAUUGCACAAUGGGGGGAACCCUGAUGCAGCGACGCCGCGUGAGUGAAGAAGUAUUUCGGUAUGUAAAGCUCUAUCAGCAGGGAAGAAAAUGACGGUACCUGACUAAGAAGCCCCGGCUAACUACGUGCCAGCAGCCGCGGUAAUACGUAGGGGGCAAGCGUUAUCCGGAUUUAUUGGGCGUAAAGCGUGUGUAGGCGGUUUGUUAAGUAUAAGAUUAAAGCCUGAGGCUCAACCUCAGUUCGUCUUAUAAACUGGCAAACUUGAGUGUGGUAGAGG
rnacentral:rRNA from 1 species